rnacentral:rRNA from 1 species
ACUGCUCAGUAACACGUGGAUAACCUGCCCUAAGGAAGGGGAUAACCUCGGGAAACUGAGGAUAAUACCCUAUAGGUUACAGACGCUGGAAUGCCCUGUAACCGAAAGUUCCGGCGCCUUAGGAUGGAUCUGCGGCCGAUUAGGUUGUUGUUGGGGUAACGGCCCAACAAGCCGAUAAUCGGUACGGGUUGUGGGAGCAAGAGCCCGGAGUUGGAUUCUGAGACAUGAAUCCAGGCCCUACGGGGCGCAGCAGGCGCGAAAACUUUACAAUGCGGGAAACCGUGAUAAGGGAACCCCGAGUGCCUGUAUAUGCAGGCUGUCCAGGUGUCUAAAAAACACCUGAAGAAAGGGCCGGGCAAGACCGGUGCCAGCCGCCGCGGUAAUACCGGCGGCUCGAGUGGUGGCCACUUUUAUUGGGCUUAAAGCGUUCGUAGCUGGGUUGUUAAGUCUCUUGGGAAAUCUGACGGCUCAACCGUCAGGCGUCCAAGGGAUACUGGCAAUCUUGGAACCGGGAGAGGUGAGGGGUACUUCGGGGGUAGGAGUGAAAUCCUGUAAUCCUCGAGGGACCACCUGUGGCGAAGGCGCCUCACCAGAACGGCUUCGACAGUGAGGGACGAAAGCUGGGGGAGCAAACCGGAUUAGAUACCCGGGUAGUCCCAGCCGUAAACGAUGCACGUUAGGUGUAUCGGUGACCACGAGUCACCGAGGUGCCGAAGGGAAACCGUGAAACGUGCCGCCUGGGAAGUACGGUCGCAAGGCUGAAACUUAAAGGAAUUGGCGGGGGAGCAC